rnacentral:tRNA from 1 species
GGGGUUGUAGCUCAGUGGCAGUGUGCUUGCCUAGCAUGCAUGAGGCACUGGGUUCAAUUCUCAGCACCA